rnacentral:rRNA from 1 species
AAAGAGUCGAACCUGCCCAGUGAUUAAAAUUCAACGGCCGCGGUAUCCCGACCGUGCAAAGGUAGCAUAAUCAUUUGCCCUAUAAUUGAGGGCUAGUAUGAAUGGUUUGACAAGAGUUACACUGUCUCUAUAAAAAUUGUUAGAAUUUAUUUUUUGAGUGAAGAAACUCAAGUUAUAUUGAUAGACAAGAAGACCCUAUCGAGCUUUAAAGAUAUUUUUAAAAUAAAAGAAAUUAUUUAAUAAUCUUAAUUAAAAAAAAUUUUGGUUGGGGCGACUAAGGAACAAUUAAAGCUUCUUAAAAAUAUUAGAUCUAUAGAUACUGAUCCACUAUUUAGUGAUUAAAAAAAUUAGUUACCGUAGGGAUAACAGCAUAAUUCUUUUUGAGAGUUCAUAUCGAAAAAAGCGUUUGUGACCUCGAUGUUGGACUAGAAUAUCCUGAUAGGUGCAGAAGCCUUCAAGGGUUGGUCUGUUCGACCAUUAAAA